rnacentral:rRNA from 1 species
GUUGUUAGACAUCGGCGUAAAGCGUGGUUAAGACAAUUUUUAUACUAAAGCCAAACAUCUUCCGCACUGUUAUACGUUCACGAAGACAGGAAGCCCAAUCACGAAAGUAGCUUUAUAACAUCUGAACCCACGAAAGCUAGGGCACAAACUGGGAUUAGAUACCCCACUAUGCCUAGCCAUAAACAUAGACAGUCCACAUACCCCACUGUCCGCCCGGGUACUACGAGCAUCAGCUUAAAACCCAAAGGACUUGGCGGUGCUUUAAACCCACCUAGAGGAGCCUGUUCUAGAACCGAUAAUCCCCGUUCAACCUCACCCUUCCUUGUUCUUCCCGCCUAUAUACCACCGUCGUCAGUUUACCCUGUGAAGGUCAAACAGUAAGCACAAUCGGCAUAGCCCAAAACGUCAGGUCGAGGUGUAGCGUAUGGAAGGGGAAGAAAUGGGCUACAUUCCCUGGUACCAGGGCAUACGGAUUAUAUGCUGAAACGCAUAUCUGAAGGAGGAUUUAGCAGUAAGCAGGAAGUAGAGUGUCCUGCUGAAACCGGCUCUGAAGCGCGCACACACCGCCCGUCACUCUCCCCAAGCUAAGAUUUUUAACAUAUCUAAAACCCUAUAAC